AUCGCUUCUCGGCCUUUUAGCUAAGAUCAAGUGUAGUAUCUGUUCUUGUCAGUUCAAUAUCUGAUAUGUUGUCUAUUCGAGAACAGCGUAUUAAACGGAUUUUUGGAAUUUAUGAGUCGUAAUAGGAGCUUGCUCCGUCCGGUCCACGCAUCGACCUCGUAUUGCGGUACCUCCGGGAACGGUGCACCCCUU